GACGAACGCUGGCGGCAUGCUUAACACAUGCAAGUCUAGGAGCUCUUCGGGGCAACUGGCGCACGGGUGAGUAACACGUAGGUUAUCUGCCCCUAUCACAGGCAUAACAUCGGGAAACCGGUGCUAAUAUCUGAUGAGGUCUUGCGAUCAAAGCCUUCGGGCGGAUAGGGAUGAGCCUGCGGCUGAUUAGCUAGUUGGUGAGGUAAUGGCUCACCAAGGCGACGAUCAGUAGCUGGACUGAGAGGUCGAACGAGCCACACUGGAACUGAGACACGGUCCAG
rnacentral:rRNA from 1 species